rnacentral:ncRNA from 2 species
AAUUUCGCACCGAAAUCUGGUUCGAUUCAUAAACUAUUUAUGUUUCGAUUAAAAGGGAAUCUGGUUAAAAUCCAGAACUGUUCCCGCAACUGUAAGCUAUAAAGCUUGUUGUUACCUUCAAAGUCACUGUUUCAAAUUUUAGAAAUGGGAAGACAAACAACAAGACGCAAGUCAGGAGACCUGCCAAUUUCAACAUAGAAGU